rnacentral:rRNA from 1 species
AGGAGAGAAUCCUAAGGCCGACGGAAGAAGCAUUGUUAAGGAAUUCGGCAAAAUGACCCCGUAACUUCGGGAGAAGGGGUGCCUGCGAGAGCAGGCCGCAGAGAGUAGGCUCAAGCAACUGUUUAGCAAAAACACAGGUCUAUGCGAAACCGAAAGGUGAAGUAUAUGGGCUGACGCCUGCCCGGUGCUGGAAGGUUAAGAGGAGAGGUUAGCGAAAGCGGAGCUUUGAAUUUAAGCCCCAGUAAACGGCGGCCGUAACAAUAACGGUCCUAAGGUAGCGAAAUUCCUUGUCGGGUAAGUUCCGACCCGCACGAAAGGCGUAAUGAUUUGAGCACUGUCUCGACAAUGCAUCCGGUGAAAUUGAAGUACCAGUGAAGAUGCUGGUUACCCGCGCCAGGACGGAAAGACCCCAUGGAGCUUUACUCCAGUUUGAUACUGGGAUUCGGUACUGCAUGUACAGGAUAGGUGGGAGACGAAGAAGGAUGGACGCCAGUCUGUCCGGAGUCGCUGUUGGGAUACCACCCCUGUAGUACUGGGUUUCUAACCAGUUACCAUGAUCUGGUAAUGGGACAAUGUCAGGCGGGGAGUUUGACUGGGGCGGACGCCUCCGAAAGGGCAUCGGAGGCGCUCAAAGGUUCCCUCAGAAUGGUUGGAAACCAUUUGAAGAGUGCAAAGGCAGAAGGGAGCUUGACUGCGACACCGACGGGUGGAGCAGGUACGAAAGUAGGACUUAGUGAUCCGGUGGUAUAAAGUGGGAUUGCCAUCGCUCAACGGAUAAAAGCUACCCUGGGAUAACAGGCUUAUCACUCCCAAGAGUUCACAUCGACGGAGUGGUUUGGCACCUCGAUGUCGGCUCAUCGCAUCCUGGGGCUGUAGCAGGUCCCAAGGGUUGGGCUGUCCGCCCAUUAAAGCGGUACGCGAGCUGGGUUCAGAACGUCGUGAGACAGUUCGGUCCCUAUCCGGCGCGGGCGGAGGAUAUUUGAGAGGAGCUGUCCUUAGUACGAGAGGACCGGGAUGGACGGACCACUGGUGUAUCUGUUGUCGACCAACGGCAUGGCAGAGUAGCCAAGUCUGGAAGGGAUAAACGCUGAAGGCAUCUAAGCGUGAAGCCCCCCUCAAGAUGAGAUAUCCCUCCUUCGGGAGUAAGACCCCUUGAAGACUACAAGGUAGAUAGGGCAGAGGUGGAAGCAUGGCAACAUGUGGAGCUGACUGUUACUAAUAGGUCGAGGGCUUAAAA